UACGUAGGGUGCAAGCGUUGUCCGGAAUUAUUGGGCGUAAAGAGCUCGUAGGCGGCUUGUCGCGUCGGGCGUGAAAAUCCAGGGCUUAACUCUGGACUGGCUUCCGAUACGGGCAGACUAGAGGUAUGCAGGGGAGAACGGAAUUCCUGGUGUAGCGGUGAAAUGCGCAGAUAUCAGGAGGAACACCGGUGGCGAAGGCGGUUCUCUGGGCAUUACCUGACGCUGAGGAGCGAAAGUGUGGGGAGCGAACAGG
rnacentral:rRNA from 1 species